UGAAACGGUCGCUAAUACCGCAUGAUGUGUUCGGAUGGCAUCAUCUGAACAUCAAAGAUUUAUCGNUGAAAGAUGGGCUCGCGUCUGAUUAGAUAGUUGUGGGGUAACGGCCUACCAAGUCGACGAUCCAGUAGCCGGACUGAGAGGUUGAACGGCCACAUUGGGACUGAGAUACGGCCCAGACUCCUACGGGAGGCAGCAGUGGGGAAUAUUGCACAAUGGGGGAAACCCUGAUGCAGCAACGCCGCGUGAAGGAUGACGGUUUUCGGAUUGUAAACUUCUUUUCUUAGUGACGAAGACAGUGACGGUAGCUAAGGAAUAAGCAUCGGCUAACUACGUG
rnacentral:rRNA from 1 species